AGAUAAUGAGCUUGCUAAUUAAAAUAAGCAUAUAUUUUGAAAAUAUAAGAAAGAAAUUAAAUAAUUUUUAUUAUCUA
rnacentral:tRNA from 1 species